rnacentral:tRNA from 1 species
GCGCUUGUAGCUCAGUUGGAUAGAGCAACGGACUUCUAAUCCGUAGGCCGCGGGUUCGAAUCCUGCCAAGCGCGCCA